GCAGUGUGUUGUGGUGUGUGUUGUAGUGUGUAUCAGGGAAUAGCAGUGUGUUGUAGUGUGUAUCAGGGAAUAGUAGUGUGUUGUGGUGUGUAUCAGGGAAUAGUAGUGUGUUGUGGUGUGUAUCAGGAAUAGUAGUGUGUUGUGGUGUGUAUCAGGGAAUAGCAGUGUGUUGUAGUGUGUAUCAGGGAAUAGCAGUGUGUUGUAGUGUGUAUCAGGAAUAGCAGUGUGUUGUGGUGUGUGUUGUAGUGUGUAUCAGGGAAUAGUAGUGUGUUGUAGUGUGUA
ensembl:lncRNA